rnacentral:lncRNA from 1 species
CUAUAUAUACUGAAACCUAUAAUCUUUAGAGUUGUUUUUUUUUUGUUUUUUUUUGUUUUUUUUUGUCAGUCUUUAGAAUUGUUUUAAAAUUUCUAACCACAUUCUACUUUUGUAUUAAUGUAUGAUAAACUCUAUUUCAUGGUACAUGAGCAUCGUUCAAUUUGUUUUAGAAAUUAAUUUAGUAAAACUUCUUAUACUCCUUAAAUUAGUGGAUUAACCAAUAUAAAAUCGCUAUUCUCUAGAGAAAUGGAG